GAUUUACGUCGGGUUCAUAUUCCCCGAUAUUGCUCUGGACAUAUUUGUUCUCUAACAGGUAUGUACAGAAUUCUUAACGAUUAAUUUUAAGAAUUUUCACACCGAUUUAAAAAAUUGAUAAUAAUAAAAAAUCAAUAAUUUAUAUAAAAAAAUUACUAUUCAAAGAUGGAGCAUUUAAACCUGAAUCUGAAGUCAUUGAUAGAAAAAUAUGAGCAAAAUCAAUGUAUAGCUUGAUAUGUUACAAUGGAAGGAGUUGAUUUUGCUAUCGAAAGAAUUUGUCCCAAGCCUGCUUUGAAUCUCUUGGAAUCAAAGUGUGAUUAUGACAAACCAAAUGCCUUUUUUUGGUGCUUAUUUCUUGAUUUGCAUUUUACUACUCAAGAAAUUUCUUUAUUUUCUUCCAUGUUUUGUCUGAAGAAGAAGCAGUAAUAUGUAUAGGGGAAUUGGGCGGAUAAACAGUUGAGUAACUGUCCCCCCUCCCCCUAUUUUUUUUUUUAAAUUCGUUGGUUAAUCCCCUCUUAUCCUUUUUUUUUAUAAUCAAAAUAAAAAAUAAAAAACGGAUUAGAUCGAUCCACAUAGGAGAUUCAUGAUCUGUAAUCCAAUAUUUUUUAAAUUACGAAUUGACUAACUAAAAAUUUGCCAAAAAAUAAAUUUGAUUAACCAAAAGUGAUGAACAAUUUGUAUCACUCUUUUUAAUGGCUUUUCAAAUUGUUAUCAUGCCAUUUAUCUCUGAAAGCCGCCCAUAAAGAAUGAUAAAAAAAAUACUAACAUGUUGUAAAUAUUAUUAUUAUGCACCAACCGAAAUAGAAAAGAAUUUUAAAUAGUUUAAUGACUGUAUGGACUCUUUUACCCAAACAAGGUGCCUGUCAGAGAUUUAAGAACCUUAUGUUAAACCUAUGUGUCUAGAAGUUCUAAUUGUGCAGAAUUCGCCCUUUUCGUAACAGUACAACGGGCUAGAGAGGCACAACUUACUAGACGAAGUCACAGAGACAAGGCUAACAUAAGUGUAUUGAACUUGACUGUACCUCCAUUUUGAAACCAAGUCAAGAAACUAGAAAGAUUUUUUAUAUUUUGAUAGAGUCUGGAGCUUUCAUAAUUAACAUGUCAGCGAAGUUAGAUCUUAAACAUAAAUAUAAAAAGUCUUUCAGUUGGACAUAGUCACGGCUGGGUUAGGGUCGAAGUUGAAUUAAAUGCACGCAAAUAAGAAAGAGAUAUGUACCUUAAUAGCCGAAAACCAGACUGAAAUAGUAGUAAACAGUAGCUUCUUCUUUAUUUAAUCUUUAAAUAUGUUACAAAGAGAUAUAGAGAGGGAGAGUUUUAGAGAAACAAAAGGAGAGAACUUUAGAAUUUCUGCCUCUCUUAACGAGAAUGAGGCGUCUAUAAAGAAAGAGAAUCUUGCACAGUAAUGGAUGGGUUCCUGUGCACAAUGAUUUUAUUAUUACAUAAGACUUUAUUAUAAAAAGCAGAGGGGUCUUAUCAAACAGUCAUAUCUUGUCUUUGUAGUCAUAUCUUGUCUUUGCCUUUCCAUUUCUUGAUGAAUGCUUCAGCUUUUUCAAUUUCUUCCUCUUCUAUCAGAAUUUUCGGAGGUUGGGAAUCUGUAAUAUCUUUAGUAUUUGCUUCGGUACUAUUCAUUGAGAUGUCUGAAUUUUGCUCAACAGUUUGAAGUAAUUUAUCUCUUACUUUUGAUAAAUAUUCUUUUAUCAUUUGCAUUUUAUUCCCGUCAUGUGCAGAUAUUCUUCUAGAAAUAUAGUUAAGACUUUUCUUCAACCAAAAUUGAUUUCUUGGAAGUUUUUUCAUAUUCAGCAAUUUUCUUGAUUAUUUCCUCCCUUUGAUCAUGACCAUAAGUGAGUUUAGUAUCUGGAUCUUUUUGAAGCAAUUUGUCCCAAAAAUUACAAUAGAAUAUUUGAUACAAGGCAGAAAUUUGUUGGGUGUCAUAGCCUAUUUCUACUGACCAUCGAUAGAUCCAAGGGAUGGAGAAUUCUAUGUAGAAAUAUAUUUGAUCAAUAGUAUUGAUCUUACAAAUAUGCUCUGAAAGAUAUAAUUCUGUUGAGAAAGGGGAGGAUUUUUUCCAUGAAUGGUAUAGAGAGGAAUAUUCUGGAGGUAAUAUUUGAAUGUGGAUCCAUGUUGAGUCCACCAUUGAAUAAACCAAUUUGGAAUAGUCUUUUCAAAUACUUUUGCACAAAAUUUUAUAAACUAAGUGUGUUUGUGCUUAUAAUUAUUAUAAUAUAAUACUUGAGAAAAGGCUUUAAUAUAAUCCAGUAGGUGAAAUUGGCAAGUGUUUGUCCCAUUGGCCCCAUGGUAUAGAUCGUUGAGUCAUUGAUGAAAUACCCCAUUCUUCAAUAGGAAUAAGUUUUUUAAUUACCAUUUUGGAGUAUCCAUGUACUCCGGGGUAGUUUCUCCGAGGGGUCUGUGAUCAAAAGUUGCACUGAAUGUUUGCACUAAUAUAUGUUCAUAAUAAGUCCGGAUUUUAUAUGAUUCGCCAGUAAAAUAUACGUUGGCAGUAAGAUAAUUUUUAAGUAUUCGCCAUGCUUCUUCAGAAUUUUCUUGACCAGGAAUAUAUUGAUUUUCAAUAUAUAAUAUAAGUUCUCUAGCAUUCAAUUUUUCGUAUGAAGGUUUAUCUUCAGAAUUUUCUUGAACUAUGAACGCAAAAGAAUCUGCAGUUUUUUGUUGAUCUGAUAGAUAAGAUUGCAGUUGUUUAUAUAACGGAUGGUUUUCAGGAAUGUCUUCUAAAUGUACGGAAGAGCCAAUAUUCAGAGUUUUUGAUGAUGAUGAUUAAUCUUAAAGAAUUUUUGAAUUAAUUUAAGUUCUAUUUCCUCGUUGUAAUACAGGAAAAUUAGAACUUGCAGAGCUAUAUGCAGAAUUUCUUCGAUCAAAAUAUGAAGGGUUUGUUCGUCCUCCUUGAUAUGAAGAGUUUUGACUCCUUCUACCCGUUCCUCUUCCUUUGGCUAUUUGCCAAGGAGGAUCCAUACUGCAUCAAUAAUCAGGAAUUUGAUCAGUUUACCAUGACAUAUAUUCAAAGAGAUCUUCAUAAAGUGUGUCCUUUGUGAUAAGAUCAUUAAUGACUUUUCGAAGUAUGAGCAUGUGCAUGUUCAUAUUCAGAGUAGCUGCCUUUAUAAAGGUGAUUAAGAACUUUUGAGAGAAAAAGUGUAGAAAGAACUUCAUUGUAUCUGUAAAUAUUAAUCACUUAAGUCAAUAUCAAAUCAAUAAAUUUCAUUAUCAAGAA
rnacentral:lncRNA from 1 species